rnacentral:snRNA from 1 species
ACCACUUUUGAUUAAAUAUCAAUAAAACCAGUCAAAAGAAAAAAAAUCUGUUCUUAUCAGUUUAAUAUCUGAUACGUCCCCCAUCAGGGGACUACAUAUUAAAUGUAUUUUUAGAUCACGGAGCUGGAGCCGGGGCUUGCUCCGUCCACUCCAUGCAUCGGCCUGGUAUUGCAGUGUCUCCAGGAACGGUGUGCUUUCC